CAUGCGUGACAUUAGCUAGUCGGUGAGGUAACGGCUCACCGAGGCGACGAUGUCUAGGGGUUCUGAGAGGAAGGUCCCCCACACUGGUACUGAGACACGGACCAGACUCCUACGGGAGGCAGCAGUGAGGAAUAUUGGUCAAUGGGCUUACGCCUGAACCAGCCAAGUCGCGUGAGGGAAGACUGCCCUACGGGUUGUAAACCUCUUUUGUCAGGGAGCAACGCCGGCUACGUGUAGCCGGACUGAGAGUACCUGAAGAAAAAGCAUCGGCUAACUCCGUGCCAGCAGCCGCGGUAAUACGGAGGAUGCGAGCGUUAUCCGGAUUUAUUGGGUUUAAAGGGUGCGUAGGCGGAAUGCCAAGUCAGCGGUAAAAUCGCGGGGCUCAACCUCGCUCCGCCGUUGAAACUGGCGUUCUUGAGUGGGCGAGAAGUAUGCGGAAUGCGUGGUGUAGCGGUGAAAUGCAUAGAUAUCACGCAGAACUCCGAUUGCGAAGGCAGCAUACCGGCGCCCAACUGACGCUGAAGCACGAAAGCGUGGGUAUCGAACAGGAUUAGAUACCCUGGUAGUCCACGCAGUAAACGAUGAAUACUAG
rnacentral:rRNA from 1 species